rnacentral:lncRNA from 1 species
AUGAAGAUGCCUCCAGGAGUGGGCCAGUUUGGGACUGGCAGCUCCACCCGGGUUCUGCUCUCACUGCUGAGGGCAGAAGGGUUCACUGGUGAGACCCUUUGGGGGAAGACUGAGGAGGAGGCAAAGCAGCUUGCUGCUUCUAUGUCAGCCAGACUGAUGACAUCUUGCUGCAUCAAGAUGUGGAUCUGGUGGGCAUCAGCAUCUCCCCUCCACUCACCCAGCAGAUACAUGUCAAGGCUCUAGGUAUUGGGAAGACUGUGGUUUGCAAGAACACAGCAACAUCAGUGGAUGCCUUUUGGAUGGUGAUGGCCUUGUGUUAACUGCCUGCAGCUGAUGAACGUGGUGGGGAACAUGCUGCAUUUCCUACCUGCCUUUGUGUGCAGGUGAAGCAACCAGUCUCGAAGCACUACGCAGGAGUGAUGAUGAUCUGCGACACCUGCAUCUACUCAGGCAGCCUGCUGAGCCCCAGCCAUAGCUGGAUCUGUGACGAGCUCACGGGCAGCAGGGGUCUGACACAAUGGGGACCUACAUCGUGGACCUGCUGACCCACCCGACCUUCUGGAGAGAUGAGAAGUUGCACACACUGUCAAGACAUACAUGAGGCAGAGUGCCACCAUCUGUGGCAUCCAGCAUGUCACCAUUGAUGACUUCUGUUUC